GAAAAAUGGCCACCAACACAGUGACACAGCUUGAAGGCAUAAGCGCUCCAGUGACAAAAAUUAUAAACACACUCACAAAUAACUCAGUAAGAUGUUUGAUGCUCAGUUAAGUUGCUCAGGGAAGAAAAGUGGCAAUUUUAAUGUCCACUCAACCUACCCUUACCUGUGCCUCUGUUCCUAUAAAUUUCAUGUUGACCAUUACACAAUUACAAUAUGGUAGGAAGCAAUGAUCCCAGUGGAAGACACAAAUAUAAAGUGAAAAAUGGGAGGCUGGACUUUCAAAAUGCCAUCAGCCCUUCUACACCACAGCAAAUAAAAACUCUGAGCAUCUCAAUAAUGAAGAAUCACAGUAUCCAAAAAAGAAAGACAAUUAAAAUAACAACGGAAGAGAGAAAGAAAGUUGUAAGGAUCUUCUUAAACAAGAAACAAAGACAGCAGAUGAGAGCAAUAUAAAGAAAACCAAUCUGUGUAAUCCAUAGACACCAGACGUGAAGAACCGAUUCUACAAAAUCGUCACACGAAGAGGGCGGAAAGUGCGGGAAGAAGUGUCAGGAAGGUAUGCUGCCGAGUAGGAACAUGGAUACUUUUUAUGGUUCAUGAAGACAAAAAAGAUAUAUUUUAUUUUGAAGAAAGAAAACAGCAUACAAAACUGGUUAAGCAGAUGAAAUAUAUGUGACAAAAGAGGAACAGCCUUUAUAGAUCAAGGACAUUAUGAGUCACUAAAAAUAGUCAAAAGACAUAAACAGACAAUUUACUCACACAAAAAAAUGCAUAGUCAAUAAAGGCCUGAAAACAUCACACACCCCAUGAGCAAUCAGAUAAAACAAUAAGACAAUGAGUUUGCAUUUUCUUCUACCAUACUGGGAAGAGAAAAAAAUAUUUUAUCUUCAUUAGUUUACAACUCUUGACUAUUCCUAAAAGUCAAAUCCAUUAUCAGAAGAAAAUUAAAUGUCACGACAGCUGCCUUUUAAUCUUGAACAUACUCAGAUUAGCAUUAUUAAUAUGAUUGCAACUAUUAGUCGUUAACAUCAGUUCCACACCACUGCAGCAGCUCUGCAGAGCCGGUGCCUGACGUCAAUGAACAGCAACCUUCACCACUCAAGCCUGGUGCCCGGACCUGAAAUUCAUUAGUGCAGACCC
rnacentral:lncRNA from 1 species